GUCGGGAACAGCUCUCAGCAGGGUGGAGUCGGUCCUCCAGCAAAGUGCCUUCAAGUUGCUGAGUUCAGUGGUCUCAUUUGAAGGAGCCUGCCUGUAGGGCACAGUAGUUACACCCAGGGGGUUGUGUAUCUUAUGAGUUGCUCCUUCUGUUUCAGUGAAGUCUUUCCUUGGAUGUCAUCAAAUUCCCCAUCUCAACUUUUUUUUUUUUAAUUCAAGUACAGUUGAUUUACAAUGUUGUAUUAGUUUCUGGUGUACAGCGAAGUGAUUCAGUUAUACAUAUAUAUACACAUGUUCUUUUCCAUUAUGGUUUAUUACAGGGUAAUGAAUAUAGUUCCCUGUGCUAUACAGUAGGACCUUGUUGUUUAUCCAUUCUAUAGAUAAUAGUUUGCAUCUGCUAAUCCCAAACUCCCAAUCCAUCCCUCCCCCACAGCAACCACAUGUCUGUUCUCUAUAUCUGAGUCAGUGUCUUUUUCAUAGAUAUGUUCAUUUGUGUGUAUUUUACAUUCUAUAUAGAAGUGAUAUCACAUGGUAUUUGUCUUCUUCUUUCUGACUUCACUUAGUAUGAUAAUCUUCAGGUCCAUCUAUGUUGUUGCAAAUGGCAUUGUUUCAUUCUUCUUUAUGGCUGAGUAGUAUUCAUUGUGUAAUAUAUAUAUAUAUAUAUAUACUACAUCUUCUGUAUCUAUUCAUCUGUCAAUGGAUAUUUAGGUUGUUUCCAUGUCCUAGCUAUUAUAAAUAGUGCUGCUAUGAAUACAGGGGUACAUGUAUCUUUUCAAAUUAGUUUCAUCCCGAUAUAUGCCCACUAGUGGGAUUGCUGGCUCAUAUGGCAAAUCUAUAUUGAGUUUUCCGAGGAACCUCCAUACUGUUUUCCAUAGUGGCUGCACCAAUUUUCACCCACUGUGUAGGAGGGUUGCACUUUCUCCACACUCCCUCCAGCAUUUGUUACUUGCAGACUUUUUAAAUGAUGGCCAUUCUGAGCGGUGUGAGGUGGUAUCUCAUUUACUUUUAAUUUGCAUUUCUCUAAUAAUUAGAGAUGAUGAGCAUCUUUUCAUGUGCUUCCUGGCCAUCUGUAUGUCUUCUUUGGAGAAAUGUCUAUUUAGGCCUUCUGUCCACUUUUCAAUUGGUUUUUUUUUUUUGUUAUUGAGUUUUGUAUGAGCUGUUCGUAUAUUUUGGAAAUUAAACCCCUAUCAGUUGCAUCAUUUGCAAAUAUUUCCUCCCAGUCCAUAUGUUGUCUCUUUGUUUUGUUUAUGGUUUCCUUUGUUGUGCAAAAGCUUGUAACUUUGAUUAGGUCCCAUUUGUUUAUUUUUCCUUUUAUUUCUCUUGCCUUGGUAGACUGACCCAGGAAAACAUUGUCAUGAUUUACAUCAGAGAACCUUUUGCCUAUGUUCUCUUCCAGGAGUUUUAUGGUGUCAAAUCUUACAGUUAAGUCUUUAAGCCAUUUUGAGUUUAUUUUUGUGCAUGGUGUAAGGGUGUGUUCUAACUUCACUGAUUUACAUGCAGCUGGCCAGCUUUCCCAGCACGACUUGCUAAAGAGACUGUCUUUCCUCCACUGUAUAUUCUUGCCUCCGUUGUUGAAGAUUAAUUGACCAUAUGUGUGUGGGUUUAUUUCUAGGCUCUCUUUUCUGUUCCACUGAUCCAUGUCUGUUUCUGUGCCUAAAGUAACACUCAAUUUAUCAUA